GCUCAGAUUGAACGCUGGCGGCAGGCUUAACACAUGCAAGUCGAGCGGAAACGAUGAUAGCUUGCUAUCAGGCGUCGAGCGGCGGACGGGUGAGUAAUACUUAGGAAUCUACCUAGUAGUGGGGGAUAGCACGGGGAAACUCGUAUUAAUACCGCAUACGACCUACGGGAGAAAGGGGGCAGUUUACUGCUCUCGCUAUUAGAUGAGCCUAAGUCGGAUUAGCUAGAUGGUGGGGUAAAGGCCUACCAUGGCGACGAUCUGUAGCUGGUCUGAGAGGAUGAUCAGCCACACCGGGACUGAGACACGGCCCGGACUCCUACGGGAGGCAGCAGUGGGGAAUAUUGGACAAUGGGGGAAACCCUGAUCCAGCCAUGCCGCGUGUGUGAAGAAGGCCUUUUGGUUGUAAAGCACUUUAAGCAGUGAAGAAGACUCCGUGGUUAAUACCCACGGACGAUGACAUUAGCUGCAGAAUAAGCACCGGCUAACUCUGUGCCAGCAGCCGCGGUAAUACAGAGGGUGCAAGCGUUAAUCGGAAUUACUGGGCGUAAAGGGAGCGUAGGUGGCUCGAUAAGUCAGAUGUGAAAUCCCCGGGCUCAACCUGGGAACUGCAUCUGAUACUGUUGAGCUAGAGUAUGUGAGAGGAAGGUAGAAUUCCAGGUGUAGCGGUGAAAUGCGUAGAGAUCUGGAGGAAUACCGAUGGCGAAGGCAGCCUUCUGGCAUAAUACUGACACUGAGGCUCGAAAGCGUGGGUAGCAAACAGGAUUAGAUACCCUGGUAGUCCACGCCGUAAACGAUGUCUACUAGUCGUUGGGUCCCUUGAGGACUUAGUGACGCAGCUAACGCAAUAAGUAGACCGCCUGGGGAGUACGGCCGCAAGGUUAAAACUCAAAUGAAUUGACGGGGGCCCGCACAAGCGGUGGAGCAUGUGGUUUAAUUCGAUGCAACGCGAAGAACCUUACCUGGUCUUGACAUAUCUAGAAUCCUGCAGAGAUGCGGGAGUGCCUUCGGGAAUUAGAAUACAGGUGCUGCAUGGCUGUCGUCAGCUCGUGUCGUGAGAUGUUGGGUUAAGUCCCGCAACGAGCGCAACCCUUGUCCUUAGUUACCAGCGGGUUAAGCCGGGAACUCUAAGGAUACUGCCAGUGACAAACUGGAGGAAGGCGGGGACGACGUCAAGUCAUCAUGGCCCUUACGACCAGGGCUACACACGUGCUACAAUGGUAGGUACAGAGGGCAGCUACACAGCGAUGUGAUGCGAAUCUCAAAAAGCCUAUCGUAGUCCAGAUUGGAGUCUGCAACUCGACUCCAUGAAGUAGGAAUCGCUAGUAAUCGCGGAUCAGAAUGCCGCGGUGAAUACGUUCCCG
rnacentral:rRNA from 1 species